GACGAACGCUGGCGGCGUGCCUAACACAUGCAAGUCGAACGGGGUCCAUGGGAGCUUGCUCCCGGAAGACCUAGUGGCGAACGGGUGAGUAACACGUGAGAAACCUGCCCUGGAGUGGGGAAUAACUCGGGGAAACUCGAGCUAAUACCGCAUACCCUCGGAUGGUCGCAUGGCCGACCGAGGAAAGAUUUAUCGCUUCAGGAGGGUCUCGCGGCCUAUCAGCUAGUUGGUGGGGUAACGGCCUACCAAGGCAACGACGGGUAGCUGGUUUGAGAGAACGAUCAGCCACACUGGGACUGAGACACGGCCCAGACUCCUACGGGAGGCAGCAGUGGGGAAUCUUGCGCAAUGGGCGAAAGCCUGACGCAGCAACGCCGCGUGCGGGAUGACGGCCUUCGUGGUUGUAAACCGCUUUCAGCAGGGACGAAAAUGACGGUACCUGCAGAAGAAGCCCCGGCUAACUACGUG
rnacentral:rRNA from 1 species